UACGUAGGGCGCAAGCGUUGUCCGGAAUUAUUGGGCGUAAAGAGCUCGUAGGCGGCUUGUCACGUCGGGGUGUGAAAGCCCGGGGCUUAACCCCGGGUCUGCAUUCGAUACGGGCUAGCUAGAGUGUGGUAGGGGAGAUCGGAAUUCCUGGUGUAGCGAUGAAAUGCGCAGAUAUCAGGAGGAACACCGGUGGCGAAGGCGGGUCUCUGGGCCGAUACUGACGCUGAGGAGCGAAAGCGUGGGGAGCGAACAGG
rnacentral:rRNA from 1 species